CCUAGUACAGUUUAUCCUAAACUAGUACAGUACGGAAAAUCAAUCCAUAGGAUCAACAAUUCACCAAACUAGUACAAUAUGCAAUUCGAUAAUCAACAAUUCACCAAACUAGUACAAUAUGCAAUUCGAUAAUCAACAAUUCACCAAACUCGUACUAUAUGCAAUUCCAUAAUCAACAAUUCAUCAAACUCGUACUAUAUGCAAUUCCAUAAUCAACAAUUCACCAAACACAUGCAUUAUAUAAUUCACCAAAACUAUAUAUAAUUCCACCGCAAAGCGAACUAGUUCAGACACCAGUGAACGUAGAUGGCGACUAACAUGACAACCGUCCCUACGAACAGAGAUGCCGAUGAAUGGAGACGGCAAACAGAAACCAAAAAAAUUGAAAAAUACGGCAGAUAAGUAGUCUAAUUGAAAGGAAGGUUAAGACCAAGAUCUGGGGAGAAAGAUAGAUCGCCAAUCGUGACCCGGUGGCCGUCUAUGAGUCGACGUCGACACCUUGAUCUCAUGGAACGACCGGAGCCCACCUCCUCCUGCAAAACGAAAAUCAAAAUCACAUAUUAAAAACAAACCGUCGAACAAGAUGAAAUAUCUCUUCAAUCGAAAACCGAAAACAUCAACUUACCGGAAAUACGUCCGCCGGACGAUGGUAGAAUUCGCGGCAUAUAGUGGAAAUCACGGGGUUUCAACUCAAUCGAAAAAAAUUAGUGGGGGAGGGGGAGAGAGGGAGUGAGAGGGAGUGAGAGGGAGAAAGAGAACGCGGGUUUCUGAAUGGGGUGGCGGCUAAUUCAGCAAAAUUAUGUGGAUAAGUCGGGUUUUCAGCUUGUUAAAUACUACAAAUCUA
rnacentral:lncRNA from 1 species